GAUAAAAGCUAUAACCCCCUUCACAUUAGCACUCUUCCUUUCUUCUCCUAUAUAUUUCUCCUCUCAUCAUCCCCUCCUCUCCCCUCCUGUAAAAGCCUCCUUCUGUACAACCAUCAAAAGCCUCUCUUCUCUUCUUUUCUUAAUUCCUAUGACUACUGUUCUAUUGAUCUCAUGUCGAUACUCCAUCUUCCUACGGUGUGCACCACAAGUAGCUGAAGCUGCCAGCAUGAUCUGAUCAUAUCCUGGAUCUGUGCGUUGUAUGGAUCUCCACAGGGAGAAAAAAAACUCAGAUCAUCUGGCAGUUUCAUCUGCUGAUGGGAGCACAUGAAAACCCUAACCCUAAUUCAUCAGGGUUUCUUCAGGGAGACAAUGGAGAGCUUAAGCACAAAACAUAGCAUCAGCAGCAAAAGUGAGACAUUUCUUAGAAAGAGAUGCUAGUAAUGAAGGAAAUUAAUGAUCAAUUAGGUCAAGUGUGGCACAAAUGCUGCAGAUGUGAAGCAGGAGGAAGCAGCUUGAAACCUGGGAAAGAACUCAUCAGGUGGCUAUUAAUGCCUGUUUGUUGCCACUUGGUAGCUAAUCAACAUCAAUUUGAGGCCCUCAAAGGACCGUUAGCUGGUAGUCAGAAUUCGAUGUUUUGUGUCCUUUUUGCAGGCGAUGCAGCACGAAAGUACUAUUCUAACUAUCAAAUGAAAACAUGUCCCAAUUCUAUC